rnacentral:sRNA from 1 species
AAAAAGCCCGCUUCGCGUCGGCAAAAGCGGGCUUCGUGUACGGGGUGCUACGAGAAAACGGCUUGGCGUCGGACGGCCUUUCGGCCCCGUUCGCUUUAGCUGUUUCGGGGGGCGCCCCGCGUCCGCAAGCUGAACUCAAAUCGACGCUGAGCCUGCAUCGUAACACGCCGGGGCGGC